rnacentral:lncRNA from 1 species
UAACACCCUAAAAUUUUGCUCCUUUUUAAAUAGAUGAAAUUUAAUUUAAUUUUGUAUUUUUGUGCUCAUAAAAUAUAGGGAAAUAAUAUUUUGCAUUAAAAUAAAACUUAUCAUAGAAUCUAGCAACAUGGAUGUGCAUACAUGCUGGAGCAUUUAUACUUUUGUACUGUGUGAGUUUGGGCAAAGUCAAAAUAUUUUCAAAUUGAUUUGAAAACAGCUUUGAAAUAAAAAGGAACAAAAAGAAAAAAACGAAAAGAAAAGAGAACUUACCUGCUCUCGGCCUAGACCUAUGGCCGAGGCCCAGCUCCUUCCCAGCCCCGCAGCCAGCUUCCUAGUCCCGGCCCAGCUCGCAGCCCAGCAGCAGGCCUGGCCGCGCGCGCCCUCUCCCCCUUGCGCCCGGCCCAGUACGCCCCUAGGCAGCCCAGCUGGACCAGCCCCGCGCCACCCCCUUCUCCAUCUCUCUGUCACCCGGUCCCCGCGCCUUGAUUCGUUGACAUCUGGGGCCCACACGUCGGUGACUUACCUUUCUUUUUCCUCGGGUCGUGGCCGAGUCGGUCUCUCCCUCUCUCGGUGGAAACCAAAUCCCGCAUAGGACGGGAUUGUUUGCAUUAGGAGAUCUUCUCCAAGAUCAUUUAAGCCUCGUGCCCUC